CGAUCUGAUCGAUCUUCUUGAGAGUGCUAGCUCAUGCGAAGACCUUCUUCUUGACUGAUCUAGAUCCUUUCUUCAUAUCUCUGGAAUCUUUUCAAAGGUUGAAGAUGGACUUCUAGAGGAUAUAAAGAGAUGCAAGAAAGAUAGAGAAGAAAAUAAUUUUUUUUAAUUUACUUCUUCCUCCCAAAUCCUUAGAACCAAAAAUCUGAAAUUCAGAUUUUUGCGCACACCCCAAG
rnacentral:lncRNA from 1 species